rnacentral:rRNA from 1 species
UACGUAGGGGGCAAGCGUUGUCCGGAUUUAUUGGGCGUAAAGAGCGUGUAGGCGGCCAAGCAGGUCCGCUGUGAAAACUCGAGGCUCAACCUCGAGACGUCGGUGGAAACCGUUUGGCUAGAGUCCGGAAGAGGAGAGUGGAAUUCCCGGUGUAGCGGUGAAAUGCGCAGAUAUCGGGAAGAACACCCGUGGCGAAGGCGGCUCUCUGGGACGGUACUGACGCUGAGACGCGAAAAGCGUGGGGGAGCGAAACAGG